AGCGAACCUGGGGGUUGGGAGGAGAGGGACUGUCACUGCCAGGCGCUGCCAGGUGAGCUCACAGAUGCACAAGGUGGAGGGGAGCAGGUCUCUUGCACAGCUCCUGACCCCAGCCUUGCAGGCACCUGGACAUCUUCCCAACCCAUGGAGCAAACGGAUGGCAGGGAGCACGGGAUGGGAGAGCCCCGUCUGUCAGUGCAGCCCAGCCCCACUGAGAGGAGGGAGCAGGAGGGAGCAGGGGGUCAGCGCUGUCUGCACGGACCACGGGCGGUAUCACCGGAUGGGUGCAGCAUUCCCGGCCGACAGCGACAUCCCCGGGUGAGCACGGAACGGCCCCGUUACAGCACGGCUGGGAAUCUCCUGCCCCUGCACCUGACAGAAGAAGCCAGAGAGCUGGUGUCCCCCACCUCCAUGCUCAGCACUACCUGGCUGGACUUCCUCCCCAUCCCAACACCGAGGCGAGGAGCCACAACAGCACAGGAGGAUCCAUCCAGCUCUGAAUGCUGCCAUGAGAGCUGAGCCAGAACUGCCUGCCUUGCCUCCAACGGUCUUUUAAAUCCUCCUAGGGGUGGUGACUCCACCAUUGCCCGGGCAGCCCAUGCCAGGGCUUGACAACUCAUUCAGCGAAGAAAUUUUUCUCUAGUAUCCAGUCUAACCCUCCCCUGGCACCACUUGAGGCUGUUUCCUGUUGUCCCAUCGCCCAGGACUUCAUCCACUGGCAGGGACUGCGUGAGCCAGUGUCAGGAGAGAACCAGGGACUGAUGGAGGCACCAGACACAGCCUGAGUUGUGCUGGGGAAUAUUUUGGCCUGGAAUGACUGACUAAAAAUGUUUUCAUGGAGUGUCACAAAGCACUUCAUCACCGGGGGUGGCUUUUGGGGUAACCAUGGUGCAGCGGCUCCGAGUCUGUAGGCGAAGCCACAUCCGGGCGGGCCAGGAGCCCAUAGGAAUCCAAAAGCAGCCCCUCCACCAGCUGGGAGGGAGCUGGAACAAAGGCAUUAGGCAGCAUAAGGAGAUUUACAUUUGCAAAGCUAUUUCCAUUUUAAUAAGGCAAAGUGCUGUUAAAUAGAGAUUGAUAUUUCUCCCCAAAUACCCAUAUUUUUAAACUGGUUUACAUCAACAAGA